GAAUAGAAACGACAUUAUAUGGAAUCAAAGAAGUGUAGAACCUUUUGAACUGGUGCAAUCAGCAGAACUCGUUUUUAAUCAAUGGAGAAAUGCCCAAGAUAAAUCAUUGACAAUUAUCUUGGGUUUAUGACCCAGGCAGAUGGUAAAGCGCAAUGGGAGCGACCACCGGAAGGUAUGAUUAAGAUAAAUACUGAUGGAGCCUUAUUCGAAGAUUCUAACACAUACAGCUAUUCCAUGAUAGUGAGAAACCAUGCAGGUGAUCUAGUAGAAUCAAAAGCAAGCUGUAGACAGGGAACAGUGAACCCAGAAAUGGCUGAAUUAAUGGGUAUAAGGGAAGCUCUCAGUUGGCUUAAAGACAAAGAUUAUGCAGGUGCAAUU
rnacentral:lncRNA from 1 species